ensembl:lncRNA novel transcript
CACUCCCGAAAGCCUGUGUGAUGUGCUAUCUAUGGAUUUCCCUUUUGAGGUAGAUGGACUUCUCUUCUACCACAAACAGACCCACUACAGCCCCGGAAGCACUCCCUUGGUGGGCUGGCUGCGCCCCUACAUGGUGUCAGAUGUCCUUGGUGUAGCUGUGCCGGCUGGCCCGCUGACCACCAAGCCAGACUAUGCUGGGCACCAGCUCCAGCAGAUUAUGGAGCACAAGAAGAGCCAGAAGGAAGGCAUGAAGGAGAAACUCACACACAAGGCCUCUGAGAAUGGGCACUAUGAAUUGGAGCACCUGUCUACUCCCAAGUUGAAGGGUUCUUCCCAUAGCCCAGACCACCCUGGAUGCCUCAUGGAGAAUUAAAGAGAGAAGCCUCCUUAAGGAGCCACAGGAUGGUACCUGGCCCCAAAAGGAAUCCUGGAGAGGAGGACAGUGACAACAGUCUUACAUGUCCUGUGCUAAAUGUCAUCUGUCUCCCUGGAAGUUACCAUACGUCAAGGACCAAAUGAUUUAUGAUGUUAAAUUGAGGUCUUCUACAGAGACAAAGAAGGAAGGAAAGGCUACCAAGCAGUUUCUCGAAGAGAUUAACAAGUGGACAGUUCAGUACAAUGUUUCCCCGCUGUCUUGGAAUGUGGCUGUCAA